AUUGAACGCUGGCGGCAGGCCUAACACAUGCAAGUCGAACGAGUGGCGGACGGGUGAGUAAUGUCUGGGAAACUGCCCGAUGGAGGGGGAUAACUACUGGAAACGGUAGCUAAUACCGCAUACCAUCGGAUGUGCCCAGAUGGGAUUAGCUAGUAGGUGGGGUAACGGCUCACCUAGGCGACGAUCCCUAGCUGGUCUGAGAGGAUGAUCAGCCACACUGGAACUGAGACACGGUCCAGACUCCUACGGGAGGCAGCAGUGGGGAAUAUUGCACAAUGGACGAAAGUCUGAUCGAGCAACGCCGCGUGUGUGAAGAAGGCCUUCGGGUUGUAAAGCACUUUCGGCGGGGAGGCGUUACUUGAACAGGAAGCACCGGCUAACUACGUGCCAGCAGCCGCGGUAAUUC
rnacentral:rRNA from 1 species